CUACCAACCCUUCUCAAAGAUUCCAUAUAUGAGUGUGAUCAUGUGAUACUUGUAUUUCUCUGCCUGCUGUCUCAAAGGGGGACCUCUCUCCCGUCUGAUG